rnacentral:rRNA from 1 species
GACGAACGCUGGCGGCGCGCCUAACACAUGCAAGUCGAACGAGCGAGAGAGAGCUUGCUUUCUCAAGCGAGUGGCGAACGGGUGAGUAACGCGUGAGGAACCUGCCUCAAAGAGGGGGACAACAGUUGGAAACGACUGCUAAUACCGCAUAGGCCCACGGCUCGGCAUCGAGCAGAGGGAAAAGGAGUGAUCCGCUUUGAGAUGGCCUCGCGUCCGAUUAGCUAGUUGGUGGGGUAACGGCCUACCAAGGCGACGAUGCAUAGCCGACCUAAGAGGGCGAACGGCCACAUUGGGACUGAGACCACGGCCCCAA